rnacentral:lncRNA from 1 species
UAGGCCCAGUUCAUUUCGGCACGGAGAUUAAGAAACUCAUUUUUAGUAGGUAAAUGGUGUGGUACACCAAUAAUUAAGGUUUUAAAUGUUCUCUUAUUUUUCCUUAAUCAUAUUUGCUUCAUUAUCUCAUUUUUCAUUUAAUUUAACUAAAUUAAAUUUGCAUUGCAAUUUAUUGCACGAAUUAAUCAGGGGAAAUUCUGGAAAUUAAUUAGAGGAAUCAAACACUACGAAUUCAAUAGCAGCACCCAACAAAAUUAUGAGAAAGAACUUAGAAAAUCGUCCUUCUACCCAUUUGACAAUCAACAAAAUCAACAAAUCAACAAAUCGACCUUCUAUCCAUUUCUCAGAGUUUGAAAAUUAAUAAAACAACAAAAUCGUCCUUCUACCCAUUUGACAGCAACAAAUCAACAAAUCAAAGAACUUAGAAAUCAAACUCAGAGAAAGAAAAUUCCAGAUCUGCAACCCCACCCAAAAUCAGCGAUUUCAGCCACCACAUCGUCUUCCUCACCAGAUCUGGGGAUCCUGGUGUACAAGACGGAUGGAGGUGGUGGAGACCGAAGACGCGGUGGAGACGGUAGAACGUGGUGGAGACGGUAGAACGCGGUGGAGGCGGCUAGGGUUUACGUCGCUAGAGACGACGGUAGAGGUUCCGGGAUCUGGAGGGGGAGAAGACCACCAUAACUGGGAGAGGGGAGAAAGAGAGCGACGACGACGGCGGAAAUGGCGGUGGCGCUCGUCGUUGAGAAAGAGAAUGGAAAAGGCGGAAGAUGGGAGAAGGGGAGGGGAGAAGAACAGCGGCCGAGUGAAUUCCAAAAUGAGAGUUUUUAGAGUUUUUAGAGUUUUAAUUAUGGUUUAAUCUAGUAGUUAUAAUUUUAAUUAGAGCCCUAAUUAUUUCCUAUUUUAAACUGGGCCUAUUGGAGUGGGACGUCCCAAAAAGGAAAGCGAGCCUAUUGGGCUGGGACGGAGGGAGUA